CUCAAGCAGAAGCUGAGCACCUCUCAGCAGGCAGCGGCAAAGUACUCCAGACUUGCUGAGGAGGCUUCUCUGGCCCAAGCAGAGGCCGAAAAGGGCCGAGCAGAGGCCAAAGCUCAGGAAAAGUUGUGCCGAGAGCAACAUGAGGCAGUUCAACUGGAAAAUCUCAGCUUGAAAGAAGAAACACAGCUGCUGAAGAGAAAGUUAACAGAAAUGCAGCUCCUCUUAACACAAGUGGAAAAGAGUCACUUUGAAAGUCAGCUGAAACUAGAGAGAAUAACAAUGGAGAGAGAAGUUAUCAGUGAAGAAAAAAGAUAUUUGGAGCAUGAAAGAAAUGAGCUGAAACAGAAACUGAAAGGAACAAUAGAAGAGAAUUCUAAGUGUAAAGAAAAUGAAAUCUCUCAAAGAUGCCGAACUGAAGCUGCUGAAGAGGCUUUAGAAAAAGCAACUCUUCUGCAUUAUGAGGCUGAAAGGGAGAGGCGUUUGUUGGAACUUGACAAAGAAGAGAAGGAAAAACAGUGUGAGAUAUGGAUGAAGAAGUACAAUGCUUUAGCCGACCUCUUGCAUUCUCAAGAAGAGGAAAAAUCAAAAAGGCAAAAUAAAGCUGUAUGUACUACUUUAAAACAAUAUAUAUCUUAUGGGCAAAGUACUCUGUGAAUGAUUCUGAUAAAGAUUCCAGGGGCUGAAAUAGGAUCCUCUUGGCCCAGUGCUGAGAAGUGGCAAGGUGAGCUAUUUCAAACUGCAGGGUGACACAGUGUAACUUUAAGCAUUUGAUUUUUAAAUGUGCUUCACUGGGGGCCCAAUGGCUGCUUUUGGUAGAUAAA
rnacentral:lncRNA from 1 species